CCCAGUAAACGGCGGCCGUAACUAUAACGGUCCUAAGGUAGCGAAAUUCCUUGUCGGGUAAGUUCCGACCCGCACGAAAGGCGCAACGAUCUGGGCACUGUCUCAACGAGAGACUCGGUGAAAUUAUAGUACCUGUGAAGAUGCAGGUUACCCGCGACAGGACGGAAAGACCCCGUGGAGCUUUACUGCAACCUGAUAUGGAAUGUUUGUACCGCUUGUACAGGAUAGGUAGGAGCCGAAGAGACGUGUGCGCUAGCAUACGAGGAGGCAAUGGUGGGAUACUACCCUGGCUGUAUGACCAUUCUAACCCGCCACGCUUAGCGCGUGGGGAGACAGUGUCAGGUGGGCAGUUUGACUGGGGCGGUCGCCUCCUAAAGAGUAACGGAGGCGCCCAAAGGUUCCCUCAGAAUGGAUGGAAAUCAUUCGCAGAGUGUAAAGGCACAAGGGAGCUUGACUGCGAGACUGACAAGUCGAGCAGGGACGAAAGUCGGGCUUAGUGAUCCGGUGGUUCCGCAUGGAAGGGCCAUCGCUCAACGGAUAAAAGCUACCCCGGGGAUAACAGGCUUAUCUCCCCCAAGAGUCCACAUCGACGGGGAGGUUUGGCACCUCGAUGUCGGCUCGUCGCAUCCUGGGGCUGUAGUCGGUCCCAAGGGUUGGGCUGUUCGCCCAUUAAAGCGGCACGCGAGCUGGGUUCAGAACGUCGUGAGACAGUUCGGUCCCUAUCCGUCGCGGGCGCAGGAAAUUUGAGAGGAGCUGUCCUUAGUACGAGAGGACCGGGAUGGACACACCGCUGGUGUACCAGUUGUUCCGCCAGGAGCAUCGCUGGGUAGCUAUGUGUGGCAGGGAUAAACGCUGAAAGCAUCUAAGCGUGAAGCCCCCCUCAAGAUGAGAUUUCCCAUUUCUUCGGAAAGUAAGAUCCCUGAAAGAUGAUCAGGUAGAUAGGUUUGGAGUGGAAGUGUAGCGAUACAUGGAGCGGACAAAUACUAAUCGAUCGAGGACUUAACCAAAA
rnacentral:rRNA from 1 species